rnacentral:rRNA from 1 species
CACGAACCGUACGAACGUUAUUCGGAAUUACUGGGCUUAAAGGGUUUGUAGGCGGCCAUGUAAGUGGGGUGUGAAAUCCCUCGGCUCAACCGAGGAACAGCGCUCCAAACUGUAUGGCUUGAGGGAGACAGGGGUAAGCGGAACUGAUGGUGGAGCGGUGAAAUGCGUUGAUAUCAUCAGGAACACCGGUGGCGAAAGCGGCUUACUGGGUCUCUUCUGACGCUGAGAAACGAAAGCUAGGGUAGCGAACGGG